rnacentral:misc_RNA from 1 species
GAUGAAGAACGUAGCGAAAUGCGAUAAGUAAUGUGAAUUGCAGAAUUCAGUGAAUCAUCGAAUCUUUGAACGCACCUUGCACCCUUUGGACUGCUCCAAAGGGUAUGCUCGUUUGAGUGUCAUUGUACUCUCACACUCUCUGAUCCUUUGGAUUCGGGGAGCAGUGGACUUGGGUGCUUGCUGCUUCCUUGUGGCUCACCUGAAAUGCAUCAGUGCAUCUCUCGAUUGGACAUAGUACGGCGUGAUAAGUGUCUUCGCCGGCACCUCAUAUGAGGGUGGCCGAUCGGGAGCUCUGUGCUUUCAAACCGUCUUCGGACAACGCUGACAACUUGACCUCAAAUCGAGUAGGACUACCCGCUGAACUUAAGCAUAUCAAUAAGCGGAGGA